rnacentral:tRNA from 1 species
GCCUGGCUAGUUCAGUCAGUAGAACAUGUGACUCUUAAUCUCAGGGUCGUUGGUUCGAGCCGCACGUUGGGUG